GAUGAACGCUGGCGGCGUGCCUAAUACAUGCAAGUCGAGCGAACAGACGAGGAGCUUGCUCCUCUGACGUUAGCGGCGGACGGGUGAGUAACACGUGGAUAACCUACCUAUAAGACUGGGAUAACUUCGGGAAACCGGAGCUAAUACCGGAUAAUAUAUUGAACCGCAUGGUUCAAUAGUGAAAGACGGUUUUGCUGUCACUUAUAGAUGGAUCCGCGCCGCAUUAGCUAGUUGGUAAGGUAACGGCUUACCAAGGCGACGAUGCGUAGCCGACCUGAGAGGGUGAUCGGCCACACUGGAACUGAACCACGGUCCAGACUCCUACGGGAGGCAGCAGUAGGGAAUCUUCCGCAAUGGGCGAAAGCUUGACGGAGCAACGCCGCGUGAGUGAUGAAGGUCUUCGGAUCGUAAAACUCUGUUAUUAGGGAAGAACAAAUGUGUAAGUAACUAUGCACGUCUUGACGGUACCUAAUCAGAAAGCCACGGCUAACUACGUG
rnacentral:rRNA from 1 species